rnacentral:rRNA from 1 species
GAUGAACGCUGGCGGCGUGCCUAAUACAUGCAAGUCGAGCGAAUGGAUUGAGAGCUUGCUCUUAUGAAGUUAGCGGCGGACGGGUGAGUAACACGUGGGUAACCUGCCCAUAAGACUGGGAUAACUCCGGGAAACCGGGGCUAAUACCGGAUAACAUUUUGAACUGCAUGGUUCGAAAUUGAAAGGAGGCUUCGGCUGUGACUUAUGGAUGGACCCGGGUCGCAUUAGCUAGUGGGUGAGGUAACGGCUCACCAAGGCAACGAUGCGUAGCCGACCUGAGAGGGUGAUCGGCCGCACUGGGACUGAGACACGGCCCAGACUCCUACGGGAGGCAGCAGUAGGGAAUCUUCCGCAAUGGACGAAAGUCUGACGGAGCAACGCCGCGUGAGUGAUGAAGGCUUUCGGGUCGUAAAACUCUGUUGUUAGGGAAGAACAAGUGCUAGUUGAAUAAGCUGGCACCUUGACGGUACCUAACCAGAAAGCCACGGCUAACUACGUGCCAGCAGCCGCGGUAA